UUCAUAUCGGCCACCUUAGCUGUCACAGUAACAUUGCAAUGAAUUUCGGACCCAUUUGAUGGUACACAAAGAAAUCUUUAUCAUUUGAGACAAGUGCACCGUAAAUAAAUACAAACAUGGAAAAACAACGGCAAACAACACUGGGACAGAAAUCAGCGGUCAACACACAAACUAUUGAAGAUUUACGGAAAGAAAAUGCUGCUCUUAGACUGAAACUACACUGCUCCCUAUGCCAUAUCCGACGGAAAGGAGUGCUGUACCUUGGAUGCAACCAUCUGGCACUGUGUGAACAGUGUGAUAAAGUCCAGAAGAAUUGCGUCAUUUGCCGAAGGAAAAUCCAUGCCUCUAUGUAUGUGUAUUUUGGAACGUAGACUAUUAAAUCGCCAACGUAACUACUACGGAACAAGUGAACGGUUAAGAUAAACCCCCUUUACAAUGGAUAUGGGUUCCCUGUCAGUGCGUGGCCUUUCCGUAAACUUGUAGCUCUGCACUGUAACGUAACAAAAAGGUUUUUACAUUUUACAAUGUGACGAUCAUGUAAUGCCUAAUCCUAGCGCCAUUACAAAAUUUUCCUAAGCACGUAUACUCAACUCUACAGCCACGCGGAUUGGUUGGUUCCAUGAACAUAAUAAUAAUUCGCGUGUGAUGGUAUACUUUGUUCACCACUAAAUGUAAAUAAAUAAUGACAGCAUUAUUAUGCUGCAGUUCGAAAAUGGUUAUGACGAUAUUUUUGGCUAUGGUACAUGCUGAAAAACGAUUGUUCCAAUCACGAAUUGAAUUCGUUUCGUGGAUUUAUUGUUUCAUUUGACAGCCAGUGUCAGACACUGUUCAUUUUGGAAUCUUGUUAUGAAAUGAAUGUGUUAUUUAAUUGUGAUUUUCAACUGAGGUUUGUUUUCGAGAAGGAAUCAAAUCUUACGAAAACGUAAAUAGAAACAAACCCUGGGCACGUCGUUUUUGCGGAGCAAAGAAUGUUGGAAAAAAUGUUUUUGAUCACCGUAAACUGACGGACAGCUACAAUGUACCUGGGAACCAAAUGGUUAACAUUGUUAACACGUUUCAUGUAGCUAUAUCAGAAAAAUGGGGUCAACUGUCGGUCUCCCGAUUGACAAAAAAGGCUUAAUCAUGGUACUUAACACUUAUUCUAAAAGCUUAAUAACCAAACACGACUCCUGUCGACAAACACAUUUACUCAUGAUCCCCUCUGAUAAAUAAGACUCGAACUUCGCUUUCGCGGUGGAUUUUACGCUUUAUUUGACAACGACAUUCUUAUGGGAUAUAGUUAACGUGAGGACACUGACUGAUCCCAAAUGGUCAAAAAGUUCCAUCCGUAAGUGGUUUUGACAAGGAGUGACCUAGAUCUCCAUUAACGUCAAACCGUACAUCACAUAGAUUUAGAGACAAACGCUUAAGCACUAUGCGAUUUAGAAGAAAAUACCAUGUACAUUUUAUGGUUUGUUGUAUGCAACCGAAAUGAUUAUUGAAAGGUUUCAAACAAUUUCAAGUGUCAAAAAUGAAUAUUGUUUUUUUUUCAUUUACCUACCCCUAGUUUGAUUAUUACCUGCUGAUA
rnacentral:lncRNA from 1 species